rnacentral:rRNA from 1 species
UACGAAGGGGCUAGCGUUGCUCGGAAUCACUGGGCGUAAAGGGUGCGUAGGCGGGUCUUAAGUCAGGGGUGAAAUCCUGGAGCUCAACUCCAGAACUGCCUUUGAUACUGAAGAUCUUGAGUUCGGGAGAGGUGAGUGGAACUGCGAGUGUAGAGGUGAAAUUCGUAGAUAUUCGCAAGAACACCAGUGGCGAAGGCGGCUCACUGGCCCGAUACUGACGCUGAGGCACGAAAGCGUGGGGAGCAAACAGG